rnacentral:tRNA from 1 species
UGCCCUGUAGCUCAGUGGAAGAGCGAUCGCCUGUUAAGCGAAUGGUCGUAGGUUCGAUCCCUACCAGGGCAGCCA